AUAAAAGUUUUGAUAAGAACUAGUAGAAUAAUUCAGGUGAACAGAAAGUUGCCGGUUGUUGAGAGGCGCAUAAACCUAUGUUAUUUGAAUUCCUCUUUGAACUUCACACCGAAUAAAGUAGGCUGUGCCGGUUAGUGUACCCGUUAUAGUACAAAGGUAUAAUUUUGUACCUGAUAAGUCAAUGAGUGUAAGCUGAUUGUAAACAAAGGUGGUAACACGGAUCGUUCGGUCUCGUCCUUUUC
rnacentral:ncRNA from 1 species